GUCAGUUCUGCGUGUUCUUAGUCAAAAAAACAUAAACCUCUUUUCAAUUCCACAGGAGGGUUUUAGUUAAAAUCACUCCCAGCUCCAUUUUUUUCAGUUUUUCUACUACCUGUGGAGUUCAAAAAUUCAGUCAGGCACAGAAGUCAUUGCUUCUACACAACUAAACAGAGCUCUCAUAUGGCGCCUAUCUGGAAUUCUCUGCAUGUUCAAAUGGCUACAAGAAAGAGCAGCACAGGGUACAUGGAUUUCUUUUGUUCUACAGAAUUUUUUUAAAAAAAAGCAAAAGUACUUGCUUUAUAAGCUGUUUUUCUUAAUGGCUCAAGCCAAAUUCAUGUCAGCCAAGUGGACAAAUCCAGCAACCAGCUUUCUUGUGGUGAAAGUAAGUUAGGAGAGUGUUUUGAAUUCGUGUUUGCAAGUCACUAAAUCUAUCAUGAGGUCCAGUUGGACCAUGUUUUACCAUCACACCUUACUCUGACUUUUGAUUGGACAAUUGUUAUUUUAACUCUUACCAGGAUUUAUGUGGCUAGGCAAGUUGGCAUUUGUUUAUUUCAACCCUAUCUUUUAUAUACAAGCAAAUUUUAUUAUAACUGAAAAAUUGUGUACAAUUGAGAUCUUUGGAACCAAACUUUGUGUUUUAGUUGAAAAUGGACCUGCAUAAUGCAACUCAAACACUCCAACCGACCUGAAAUUGUAUGAAAUGAACGAGUAUUGGAGUCUUUGGUUGUGGUCGAGAAGCCACUGCUCAGAGAAGAGACUCAUUUUAAGGGCUUUGCUACUCAUUCUUGUUCAAGUUCGUGAACUGUCAUAUAGAAGGUCCUCCCAUCUGCAGAAUAUAUACAGAUAAAACUUGGAUGUUACAAAAGUGGGAGCUGGUUAAGAGGGAAGUGCAUAGUGCAGCAAUUGCAUAAUGAUCACACAGAGACCUAAUUUGUUUGCAUUUUUUAUUUGUUAGUUACAUUUUUCAUCCUUAGACUUGCCUUGUUCCAAGUUUGAGUGCAGUUAAGAGAGAAAGAGUGCGCACAUGCAAAGGGGGGAGGGGUGGGUUGUUGUGGAGCUGGGGAAUUUUUUUGGCUAGAGUAAAGACUUACUGCUGUUAAUGCAAUGUGACAUGAGUUGUUUAGGUGAAAACAGAAAGGUGUAUUACAAGUUGUUCAGAUAUGAAUUUGUGAUAAAUAAUUUAGCAAAUACAAAAACAGUAUCGUGUGUUCUUGAGCAAGUGACAUAUAUCAUGUGGAGUUGUUUUAAAAUAAAUAAAGUGCUUUCUUGUAUUUAGACAAUUGUUAAGAGGGAGAGAGACUUCAAUGCAUCUGUUAUAAUUGUUUACAUCAUGGAUGUAAGUUCUUUCUGUUUUUCUUAUUGUUUACACAUUGUUCUUGAACUUCAUUUAGUCAUGUGUAAGGGUGCAACUAGUUUAGGCUAAAGUUUAAAUCCUUUUCUGUUUUGUCUAGAGAAAUCCAAUUCUAAUUUAUGUGAUUGUGUUGCAUGAUCCCAGCUAUUGUAAAUGCUCACAUCAUGGAUCCUCAAUUGUUUCUUCUCAUGAUUGAUCUUUCAUUUUAACAAGACGUACUGAUUAUUGCUAUCUUGAAUACUACCCUGUAACUAAUUUUUUGUUUGGCUGUCUGUUUUUUAUUUGUAAGUUGCACUUGUAUUCAGUGGGUCAUGGCCUCAUCUUUCGCCUUACUCUUGUUAGGUAAGGAGGGGCCAUUUGAGCUUAAGUUAUUCUAUUCUGCUCCAAUUCUACAUGGAAGCUGCUGUCGUAUAUGGCGUGCAAUUCAUUUUCUAAAAGCCAGCAUUUUGUUAAAAAUUGUUUGCUCAUGUUUGUGAGUGAAUUCUCUUAGAAGUGUAACAUCUACUUCGAUUUAUGGAGCUUCUAUAUGGUGCUAGUUGGGAUGGAUAGAUGUUCCCUGAUAUUGGUGCUAUUUUGGAUUGUUAUGUCGGAUUCAUCCCUUUGUGUGUGAACGUAUUCAUUUUCUUUUUCAUUGACAGGUUAAGAGAGGUGGAGAAACGCAGAUAACGCUCUCAUGUGCAUACAUUUAUUAGCUUGUCGUAUUAAAUAUUUUAUGUUAUGCAUGGAAAAAUGUAAUAUAACUAUUUUAAAAGAAUGUAAUGUAAAAUUUAUAGGUUAAAUGGUGACUAUAUAAAACUUAUAUAAUCAAAAAUAGUGAAUUUAAAAUACGUUAUAUGUUUCAUUACAUAAAACUUAUAUAUAUACACACACACACACGAAGGUAUAAUCAACCUUAUGCAAUUUAUUUAAAAAUAAUAACGUUAAAACAAAUGAGUAACUGCUCAAAAGAUUACAUUUGUAUAUUCAUACCUUCCAUUUUUAGGAAGACUUUUACUUAAAUUAGUCACACUAAAGUGAACUGAAAUGCUAUGUUAAUGUGGCUUAAUAGGAGUGUAAUAAUAAUAAAUGCUAUGCUUAAGAUUUUAGAUAUUACAAAUUUGAUAUAUAUAUUUUUUAAUAAAUUUGGAUUUAGAAUAUGUGCUCUCAAUCCAAACCCAUCUUCUCCCAUUUUGUAAGUGCACAAAAAUGGACUGAAGUGGACCACAUAGGACUAAGUGUGCGUUUGUUUGGACUUUGGUAGAGAUUUGCUACCAAAACACCAAGCAACACUGAUCUGCUAUCAAAAAUGACCAGAUGGGUAAAAACACCACUUCUAAUCCCGAGGCAAAAACGGCUAGAGCAUUAUGGGAUAAUGAUCCAAACUGGACAACUACUUUUUGUAAUCUUUGUGUGGAACAGAUUCAAAUCGGGAAUAGAUCAAGAGGUGCUGCCUUUAGUACCGAAGGUUGGACCAAUCUAGUGACCAAAUUUUGUGAUGAGACCGGUCAAAACUAUGAUAGGGAUCAAUUUAAUCAUCUUUUAUCAUCUUUUUUACAUUUUUGUGCUGUACAAUUUAAAC